AUCACGAUCAGCUAGUAUCCACAGAGAACACAGAACAGACUUCGGCUCGGUGGUUUUUGACAAUAUCUAUUUAUAGAUGUUCUAUCUGUGGAACACUUGUCGCUGUCUGCUCCAAAAAGCCCCAAAACCAAACCCUCUCAUGUAGCGUGAUGCCAAAUCAUUUAGGAAUUUUAAUUCGACUUCUGCAGGCGUCACCCGCUGACUGUGUCCGUGUCUGUUCGUGGAUGUGCACUUCAUUCAAGUUCAAUUCAGUUGGACUUUGUCUUGUACUUGUACUUGGCUUGCAUCGCAUUUUCUUUUCUUUUUAUUUGUAGUCGUAUACGAGUAUUUUUGGUUCCUUCCCCAGUCGGGAAGCGGAUGGCAGCUCACAUCUGUGUCCCCUUGGCACAGCUGCAACUGCAACGUCUGGGGGUGCCAUAUAUGCCUUAUAUGGCGAGUGCUUGGCACCUACUACACGCCCCGGCAAUCGUGUAUUUUUGGUAUUCCUAUGCUGAUCUCUGCCCUGAUGAUUCAUCGCUUCUCUCGUUUUUGUUGGGCCAUCUCUCAAUAUGCCCAUCACUCAAUCAGUGAGUGUUUUGUAUAUUAGUUUUUGGUUGAAGUGGAAGUGCAAUGCCCUGGAUGCAUUUCCUCGCUAAGCUUAUUUGCGGACAGCAAAGUGGUGGGGUUUCUUUUAUACAUUUUGUAAAGAUGCAAUUGUUGAGAACCAUCAGGUAGCAUUCCCCAUUUGAUUCAGUUUUAUUAAAUUUGACGGUUGAAAAGCUUGGGGCAACCCGGAUCGUUCGCUGGUGUGGCAACACCUGACUCUGACACGCCGGUCUGGCAUCUUCAUCUUCAAUUAUACGCAACCUCUUAUUCACCGAGCUGCCUUCUUCUGGACAAGCUGGCAAGGAUUGUUGCUAUCGACUCAAUGUCGAGUCAUUCAAGUUAAAUUCUGUUGGACUUUGUCUUGUAGUUGGCUUGCAUCGAAAUUUCAUUUUAUUUGUAGUCGUCUACGAUUAUUUUUGGUUCCUGGUUCCACAAAUUCGGGUCAAAUUCAAAAGAGCGUCGAUGCGAAGGUUGAGUUGAUAAGCUACAACACGACAUCUCCAAAAAGCCCAAGGCGCCCCAUGACAACAAGGCAUCCCCUUUUUCAUCAAUGAAAAAUAAACUUUGCGAUGACAAACCGGAUUACAAUACGAACGUUUUGGAAAUCAGGACCUGGAAAUCGACCUGGGCCUGGAUCGUUCGUUUAAAUGGUCAUGUGUAGUCGCUGAUGUACCAACUAAUUAUGCUUCGCCAUAUAACGACAAAGCGCAUCAAUGCAAGGACCGGCAAACUGAUGACCUCACCCUCGACAACAUGAGCACAUCAGAUUCACCUUUAGUUCGCCACUACAUAACAAAACUGGAGCACCAGUAGCAGAUCGUUCCAGACGCCUGAUGGAAGAGAAACUGUCAGUAGCUAAAGCACAGAUACAUCGUCAAGAUUUGUUGUCCAUGGGCCAGCCCGUUGCACAUGGAAGCAAACACCAGUGGCGUACAGCGACAGAACAGCCUGGAUGGUCACAUUCAUGUCGGGCAUAUUGAAUGUUUCGAGCCUGAUCUGAUUUAUCCUCUCACGGUUAGCCUUGGGGUUAAGAGGGGCCUCGUUCAGCGAGACGCACGCAUCUCGCUAUUGCUGAGUACCAAGAACGUUGGUGAUGAAUGAGCUGCUUGUGGCCCCCGAGGAUCACCCCGUUUUGCUGGCCGAGCCCCUCUUAGCCCGAAGGCUAUCCGUGAGACGAUGACUCAGAUCAGGUUCGUAACAUUCAAUGUACCCGCCAUGAAUGUGACCAUCCAGGCUGUUCUGUCGCUGUACGCCUCUGGUGAAUGUGGGGAAAUCGUUUAACGAUCUAGAACGGUAAUCGCCACCGUCGCUGUCGGCUUAAGCGGCACAGACGAGCUUUAACGGGAAUCAUUCCAUGGAAGUUUCGGUCUUGAGAGACGAAAGAGAACAUUCGAUCAAUUAAAGCUAAAUAUUCGAAGUAGAGGUUUCUAAAGGCUCUUUGUUCGAACUAAUCAAGUUGGCGCGUGCUUUCAAUCUGUUUUUGUAGCAGCGGAAUUAUUAGCGAAUUUAAUCGGGCUUUGCUUCACUGGCCACUACACUUAUUGGAUACGGCAUUUUGAAUUUCUGAAAACUGACUUCAAGCUCGUAAUUAUUGAACUCAAAAACACCCCAGUGAUUGAAGCGAAUCCGGUGAAUUUUUCAAAUAAGUUUCCACCAUGUUUCGACCUUGUUUUGGGUGUUUUGAGACCUGAAGUGAUGGAGCAAAUCUGACCUUGGUUUAUUCAGGUUAUUCAGGGCCCCAAAAUAAAUACUGAUAUGACAUUCUAG